CUAUGGCCUUCCUCUGUAUUUUAUAGGAAAAGUUUUGUGACAAAUGCUGACUUUUUAUCCUUUUUAUUCUUUUAUCCCAUACAGUGUUGUGCGACCUUCAGAGCUAUUUUUUCGUCAGUGCUUCAGUGCGAUCUUUCUUCCACAGGAUUUUUCUGGCUAUUCCACAGUUCAGUUUUUUCCAUUCUUUUCUGAACUAGUGUAUUGAAUAGCCAGCUUCGACUGAGGGAGAGACCCCCUUGGGGUACCCCGGCCUUGUGCCGGGCCCCUCGACUUCAGCCAGAAGCCAGAGUCAUCUUAGGCUUCUGGUUCUGAUCAUCUGGACAUCAGACUUCAUCGGGACAGCAGAUAUCAUCUGGUUGCUGUAGCGCAAGGAAGAUGCCGGCGCUUCGGAUGCUACUCCGUGCCCUGGAGGAUUUCAGGGCAGAAAAUACCAAUUUUGAAGAAAUUCUUUCCUAUUACGAACUUUUUUACAGGCAGCAGUUUGGAAAGAUGGAAGACCUGUAAGUAAAACAAAAAUGCUCUUUUUAUGUGUUCAGUAUUGUUUGCCAUUG